CACAGUCAUGCCUACGGGCAAUUUAGAGUCUCCAAUUAAUGCAUGUUUUUUGGGAUGUGGGAGGAAACCAGAGUGCCCGGAGAAAACCCACGCAGGCACGGGGAGAACAUGCAAACUCCACACAGGCGGGGACGGGGAUUGAACCCCGCACCUCAGAACUGUGAGGCUGACGCUCUAACCAGUCGGCCACCGUGCCGCACCCCAAUUCCAAUUAAACAUCAAUAAAAAAAGAAAAAAAUGAUUUGCAAAUCAUGUUUGACCUAUAUUUAAUUGAAUAUACUACAAAGACAAUAUAUUUAAUGUUCAAACUGAUAAACUUUAUUGUUUUUAGCAAAUAAGAAUUUAAUGGCUGCAACACGUUCCAAAAAAAGCUGGCACAGGUGGCAAAAAAAGACUGAGAAAGUUGAGGAAUGCUCAUCAAACACCUGUUUGGAACAUCCCACAGGUGAACAGAAGGAGAAGAAUAAUCAUAUUUUAUUGUCAUGAACAUGCACAUGAAAUUUCUUCUCUGCAUUUAACCCAUCACAGUGAACACAUACACGUUAGUGGAACACACUGGAGCAGGAGGCAGCUGAAGCGCCCGAGGAGCAUUUCUGGGUAUCAGUGUCUCGCUCAAGGACACCACAGCCGUGAGUCCGGGGGACGUUGGCGGAUGGUCCAGUCGGGGUCUUGAACCUUGGUCCCCCACAGUGGCAGGCGAUGAGCUUAACCAUUGGGCCACGGCUGCCCAAUUAAGGCUAAUUUGGGAACAGGUGGGUGCCAUUAUUGGGUAUAAAAGGAGCAGUCAUUCACAAGCAAAGUUGGGGCGAGGUUCACCUGUUUGUGAACAAGUGCGUGAGAAAAUAGUCGAACAGUUUAAGGCCAAUGUUCAUCAACGUACAAGUGCAAGGAAUUUAGGGAUUUCAUCAUCUACGGUCCAUAAUAUCAUCAAAAGUUUCAGAGAAUCUGGAGAAAUCACUGCAUGUAAGCGGCAAGGCCGAAAACCAACAUUGAAUGCCCGUCACCUUCGAUCCCUCAGGCGGCACUGCAUCAAAAACCGACAUCAAUGUGUAAACGACAUCACCACAUGGGCUCAGGAACACUUCAGAAAACCAAUGUCAGUAAAUACAGUUCGGCGCUACAUCCGUAAGUGCAACUUGAAACUCUACUAUGGAAAGCAAAAGCCAUUUAUCAACAACACCCAGAAACGCUUCUCUGUGCUCGAGCUCAUCUAAGAUGGAUUGAAGCAAAGUGGAAAAGUGUUCUGUGGUCCAACGAGUCCACAUUUCAAAUUGUUUUUGAAAAUUGUGGACGUCGUGUCCUCAGGGCCAAAGAGGAAAAGAACCAGCCGGACUGUUAUGGAAUUGUCCGGAAUGUUAUGAACGCAAAGUUCAAAAGCCAGCAUCUGUGAAGGUAUGGGGCUGUGUUAGUGCCAAUGGUAUGGGUAACUUACACAUCUGUGAAGGCACCAUUAAUGCUGAAAGAUACACACACGUUUUGGAGAAACAUAUACUGCCAUCCAAGCAACGUCCUUUUCAUGGAUGCCCCUGCUUAUUUCAGCAAGACAAUGCCAAACCACAUUCUGCACGUGCUACAACAGCGUGGCUUCGUAGUAAAAGAGUGCGGGUACUAGACUGGCCUGCCUGCAGUCCAGACCUGUCUCCCAUUGAAAAUGUGUGGCGCAUUAUGAAGCGUAAAAUACGACAACGGAGACCCUGGACUGUUGAACAGCUGGAACUCUACAUCAAGCAAGAAUGGGAAAGAAUUCCACCUACAAAGCUUCAACAAUUAGUGUCCUCAGUUCCCAAACGUUUAUUGAAUGUUAAAAGAAAAGGUGAAGGUGGUAAACAUGACCCUUCCCCAGCUUUUUGGGAACGUGUUGCAGCCAUAAAAUUCUAAGUUAAUGAUUACUUGCUAAAAACAAUAAGGUUGAUCAGUUUGAAGAUUACAUAUCUCGUCUUUGUAGUGUAUUCAAUGAAAUAUAGGUCAAACAUGAUUUGCAAAUCAUUGUAUUCUGUUUUUAUGUAUUGUUGAAGGAUGGUAUCUCUCCGCCAGUCCUUCGCGUGUUCGUUGAAUUUCGGAUGAUGAAAAUGUUGGAGUCCGAAUCAGAGACUGGAAAUGAAUUUCUUUAAGAUCUUUUAUUGCAGAAUAUUCUGGGUGCAAAUGUUCUACAGGCAAAGGCUGCAGCUGCACAAAAUGUGCUCAAAUGUGCGCUUUCUCAGCGUUUAGUGCGAGAUUAUAUACAGUGUUCAGGGCGGUGUUUAAAGCUUGAGCAGGAUGGAUCCAAGGUCACAGCAUUAUCUCUUCUUGGGACAAAACAUCCUGUUUUGCGGCUGACGUAGUUUUCACAGUUACGUGAUUAUCAGAACAUUUUAAUACUGAGGUUAGGUUACACAACGGCGGCACGGUGGGCGACUGGUUAGAGCGUCAGCCUCACAGUUCUGAGGACCUGGGUUCAAUCCCCGGCCCCGCCUGUGUGGAGUUUGCAUGUUCUCCCCGUGCCUGCGUGGGUUUUCUCCGGGCACUCCGGUUUCCUCCCACAUCCCAAAAACAUGCAUGAAUUGGAGACUCUAAAUUGCCUGUAGGCAUGAGUGCGAAUGGUUGUUUGUUCCUAUGUGCCCUGCGAUUGACUGGCAACCAGUUCAGGGUGUACCCCGCCUCCUGCCCGAUGACAGCUGGGAUAGGCUCCAGCACGCCCGCGACCCUAGUGAGGAGAAGCGGCUCAGAAAAUGGAUGGAUGGAGGUUACACAACAUAACAGUGCACAAAUAAGUCUAUGUAUGAUCAUGACAUCAGUAUAUCACGUGUGAGGGCCUUCAGUAUGUUUAACACAACGUCCCAACUUCAUUGGAAUUGGUCCCUCACGUACCUUGUUUUGUAAUCUGACAUUGAUCUCCUGUUUGCUGAAAAACGUGAUAUGUUUCAGAGAAAAUAAAUUCAUACACAAUCAAAUGAGCAAAACAUUCCUUGAAAGGUGUAAAAUGACUUUACCACUUACCAAAGAUAGUGAUUUUAAACCGGUCUAUUUUAAGUGUAACUGUACACAAGCAUCAACUAAUCAAGAAAAUUAUACUGUGGCCAUAAUGACUCCAAAUCAUCACUUUGUCACAUAGGAAGGGACUUAGCUGUGCAACGCUUACAGUGACACCAUUGCGUAAGGAUGAAGAGGCUCAUAAAUCAGUUUCCUUACGGUACAAUAAUACACUGUCUUGAUUUUUACUUAACUGCACUAUUAACCCUCCUCAAGCAGUAAGAUCAAUGCUACAUGGCAGAUUCCAUUCUUUGCGAUCUUGACACACCUGUAAUCAAUUCUGCUCAUGAUGUAAUGCAAAAUGUUUAAAACAACAAUAGUGUGCAGUGUCUAAAGUUGGACUGAUAAUGGCACUGACCAUCUGUUUGGAAUCCGUUAUGAUCCAGGAAGUAACUUGCUAACAAAUGAACAGAUGGACACAAGGAAAUACACCCUUUGGGUUUAUUGGAAAAGCAACAAUAACACAUUUCUCUUUUUCUUUUCAUUCCAAAUUCAACCAGGCUUGAUAUUUCCUCACGAGAUUUUAUGAGUGAUUUAAAAAACAACAAACCUAAUUAUUUAGUUUAUACUUCAAGGUAGAACCACAGAGAGCUUUUUUAUGGUGUCACAGUUGUGGUUGGUCAGCUGAUAUGACACGUCCAUUUAAUAAAGGAUCAAGGCUCAAAGGAGCCUCCUAUGUGGUAUAGAUCCUGUCAGUUAGUUUAGAUAGAGAAGAUGGAGACAGCGCUCGUAAGUGGUUACUAUAUGAUAGAGAAGAUGGAGACAGCACUGGGUCGCGGGCGUGCUGGACCCUAUCCCAGCUAUCUUUGGGCGAGAGGACACCAGCCAAUCGCAGGGCACAUAUAAACAAACAACCACCCACACUCACAUUCACACCUAACGGCAAUUUAGAAUCUUCAACCAACCUACCACUGAUGUUUUUGGGAUGUUGGAGGAAACUGGACUGCCUGGAGAAAACCCACCCAGGCACAGGGAGAAAAAUGCAAACUCCACACCAGCUGGGCCUGGAUUUGAACCCCAGUCCUCAGAACUGUGAGGCGGAUGUGCUAACCAGUCGCCCACCGUGCCGCGACACAAUACAUAUAUCCUGUAUACAUAUUAAAAAAAAAUAAAAAUCAUAUUCUUUCA